rnacentral:rRNA from 1 species
CUGGGAACUUGAUUCCCCUGAAAGGGCCGUCGAAGACUACGACGUUGAUAGGCUGGGUGUGUAAGCGUUGUGAGGCGUUGAGCUAACCAGUACUAAUUGCCCGUGAGGCUUGACCAU